rnacentral:rRNA from 1 species
GACGAGGGGUCCAAGCGUUGUUCGGAAUCAUUGGGCGUAAAGCGGGUGUAGGUGGCUCUGUAAGUCAGGAGUGAAAGCCCCAAGCUUAACUCCGAAACUGCAUUCGAUACUGCCGUGCUUGAGGACUGGAGAGGAGACUGGAAUUUACGGUGUAGCGGUGAAAUGCGUAGAUAUCGUAAGGAAGACCAGUGGCGAAGGCGGGUCUCUGGACAGUUCCUGACGCUGAGGCACGAAGGUCAGGGGAGCAAACGGG